CUAAAUACUCCUGACUGACCGAUAGUGAACCAGUACCGUGAGGGAAAGGCGAAAAGAACCCCGGCGAGGGGAGUGAAAAAGAACCUGAAACCGUGUACGUACAAGCAGUGGGAGCACGCUUAGGCGUGUGACUGCGUACCUUUUGUAUAAUGGGUCAGCGACUUAUAUUCUGUAGCAAGGUUAACCGAAUAGGGGAGCCGAAGGGAAACCGAGUCUUAACUGGGCGUUAAGUUGCAGGGUAUAGACCCGAAACCCGGUGAUCUAGCCAUGGGCAGGUUGAAGGUUGGGUAACACUAACUGGAGGACCGAACCGACUAAUGUUGAAAAAUUAGCGGAUGACUUGUGGCUGGGGGUGAAAGGCCAAUCAAACCGGGAGAUAGCUGGUUCUCCCCGAAAGCUAUUUAGGUAGCGCCUCGUGAAUUCAUCUCCGGGGGUAGAGCACUGUUUCGGCAAGGGGGUCAUCCCGACUUACCAACCCGAUGCAAACUGCGAAUACCGGAGAAUGUUAUCACGGGAGACACACGGCGGGUGCUAACGUCCGUCGUGAAGAGGGAAACAACCCAGACCGCCAGCUAAGGUCCCAAAGUCAUGGUUAAGUGGGAAACGAUGUGGGAAGGCCCAGACAGCCAGGAUGUUGGCUUAGAAGCAGCCAUCAUUUAAAGAAAGCGUAAUAGCUCACUGGUCGAGUCGGCCUGCGCGGAAGAUGUAACGGGGCUAAACCAUGCACCGAAGCUGCGGCAGCGACGCUGAUGCGUUGUUGGGUAGGGGAGCGUUCUGUAAGCCUGUGAAGGUGUGCUGUGAGGCAUGCUGGAGGUAUCAGAAGUGCGAAUGCUGACAUAAGUAACGAUAAAGCGGGUGAAAAGCCCGCUCGCCGGAAGACCAAGGGUUCCUGUCCAACGUUAAUCGGGGCAGGGUGAGUCGACCCCUAAGGCGAGGCCGAAAGGCGUAGUCGAUGGGAAACAGGUUAAUAUUCCUGUACUUGGUGUUACU
rnacentral:rRNA from 1 species